rnacentral:rRNA from 1 species
AUUGAACGCUGGCGGCAGGCCUAACACAUGCAAGUCGAACGAGUGGCGGACGGGUGAGUAAUGUCUGGGAAACUGCCCGAUGGAGGGGGAUAACUACUGGAAACGGUAGCUAAUACCGCAUACCAUCUGAUGUGCCCAGAUGGGAUUAGCUAGUAGGUGGGGUAAAGGCUCACCUAGGCGACGAUCCCUAGCUGGUCUGCGAGGAUGACCAGCAACAUGGGAACUGAGAAACGGUCCAUACUCCUACGGGGGGCAGCAGUGGGGAAUAUGGCACAAUGGGCGCAAGCCUGAGGCAGCCAUGCCGCGUGUAUGAAGAAGGCCUUCGGGUUGUAAAGUACUUUCAGCGGGGAGGCGUUACCCGCAGAAGAAUCACCGGCUAACUCCGUGCCAGCAGCCGCGGUAAUAC